rnacentral:rRNA from 1 species
AAAAGGGGCGGCCUUAGCAAUAGGGCUGUUGCACUGAGAUGAGCCUGCGUCUCAUUAGCUAGUUGGUGAGGUAAUGGCUCACCAAGGCGAUGAUGGGUAGCUGGUCUGAGAGGACGAUCAGCCACACUGGAACUGAAACACGGUCCAGACUCCUACGGGAGGCAGCAGUGGGGAAUCUUGCGCAAUGACGAAAGUCUGACGCAGCGACGCCGCGUGAGUGAAGAAGGCCUUCGGGUUGUAAAGCUCUGUCGAGUGGGAAAAAUGGCGACUAGAAUAAUACGCUAGUUGAUUGAUGGUACCACUAGAGGAAGCACCGGCUAACUCCGUGCCAGCAGCCGCGGUAA